GAUUAUGGCUCAGGAUGAACGCUAGCGGCAGGCCUAACACAUGCAAGUCGAGGGAGAAGCCCUUCGGGGCAGAAACCGGCGCACGGGUGCGUAACGCGUAUGCAACCUACCUUUCACAGGGGGAUAGCCCGAAGAAAUUUGGAUUAAUACCCCAUAAUAUUGUUGGAUGGCAUCAUUUUGCAAUUAAAACUGCGGUGGUGAGAGAUGGGCACGCGUCCUAUUAGCUAGUUGGAGUGGUAACGGCACCCCAAGGCUACGAUAGGUAGGGGUCCUGAGAGGGAGAUCCCCCACACUGGUACUGAGACAGGGACCAGACUCCUACGGGAGGCAGCAGUGAGGAAUAUUGGUCAAUGGUCGGAAGACUGAACCAGCCAUGCCGCGUGCAGGAAGAAUGCCUUAUGGGUUGUAAACUGCUUUUAUAUGGGAAGAAUAAGGUGUACGAGUACAUUGA
rnacentral:rRNA from 1 species